rnacentral:rRNA from 1 species
GCGUGGUGACGCUACCAUGCAGUCGAACGGUAACAGGAAGCAGCUUGCUGCUUUGCUGACGAGUGGCGGACGGGUGAGUAAUGUCUGGGAAACUGCCUGAUGGAGGGGGAUAACUACUGGAAACGGUAGCUAAUACCGCAUAACGUCGCAAGACCAAAGAGGGGGACCUUAGGGCCUCUUGCCAUCGGAUGUGCCCAGAUGGGAUUAGCUAGUAGGUGGGGUAACGGCUCACCUAGGCGACGAUCCCUAGCUGGUCUGAGAGGAUGACCAGCCACACUGGAACUGAGACACGGUCCAGACUCCUACGGGAGGCAGCAGUGGGGAAUAUUGCACAAUGGGCGCAAGCCUGAUGCAGCCAUGCCGCGUGUAUGAAGAAGGCCUUCGGGUUGUAAAGUACUUUCAGCGGGGAGGAAGGGAGUAAAGUUAAUACCUUUGCUCAUUGACGUUACCCGCAGAAGAAGCACCGGCUAACUCCGUGCCAGCAGCCGCGGUAAUACGGAGGGUGCAAGCGUUAAUCGGAAUUACUGGGCGUAAAGCGCACGCAGGCGGUUUGUUAAGUCAGAUGUGAAAUCCCCGGGCUCAACCUGGGAACUGCAUCUG